rnacentral:rRNA from 1 species
GUAAACCUCAGAGAUGAGGUCCCCUCUUCGGAGGCACCUGUAUAGGUGCUGCAUGGCUGUCGUCAGCUCGUGUCGUGAGAUGUUGGGUUAAGUCCCGCAACGAGCGNAACCCUUGUCCAUAGUUGCUAACGCGUCGUGGCGAGAACUCUAUGGAGACUGCCGGUGAUAAACCGGAGGAAGGUGGGGAUGACGUCAAGUCCUCAUGGCCUUUAUGUCCAGGGCUACACACGUGCUACAAUGGGCGGUACAAAGAGUUGCGAUCCCGCAAGGGGGAGCUAAUCUCAAAAAGCCGCUCUCAGUUCGGAUUGCAGUCUGCAACUCGACUGCAUGAAGCUGGAAUCGCUAGUAAUCGCGGAUCAGCACGCCGCGGUGAAUACCGUUCCCGGGCCUUGUACACACCGCCCGUCACAUCACGAAAGUCGGUUGCACUAGAAGUCGGUGUGCUAACCCGCAAGGGGGGCAGCCGCCUAAAGUGUGGUCGGUAAUUGGGGUGAAGUCGUAACAAGGUAAGCGUAGAUGA